GCAAAGUUUCUUGCCAAAUUGGCUUGAAGCAAUUGUGUGGCAGGUAUGCUUUUAAUGAAGAUCAUUUCUCCAUCUUCCUGUUUUAAUUUGAUUUCUCUGGCAGAGUUGGACUUCCUUGGCUUGGAGGAAAUGUGCUUAACUGCCGCCAUCUCAACCCUCAACCGUGAACCAGACAGAACUGAAUUCCUUCACCAUGUGGGCAGCUUGGCGUUUGACUUUCACAUAACAGCGUGGCCUCCACCAAAGUCCUGGAGAGUCUCCAGGAGGAAAGAAGAGGCUGCCACAUUUGGCUGGAACUGGUCACGUGACGAUCUACUUUGUGCUGCAGGCCAAUAGCCCAGCUACGCAUCUGGGUCCCCAGCAAGCGCUCUGUGCUUUUUUUAAAAACACGCACACAUGUUCUGCCUCUUAUUUCCUGAGCAGUCGCAACACCUGGAGUGGUCAGAGUCCAAAAAAGUCAGGCCAGGAAAUUGAGUUCUUCUUGACUCCUGGCUGGGACAUUUAGCCAGGAACAUUAUGAAUGUGUUUUGUAACUAACCCUCUACGAGAGAAGAACAGGCCCCUGCCAAGGAAUUCACGAGACCCUGGAGUUCGCAAAGAGGGAAGAGAAGAGAAACCUCACUGAUCCAUCCGACAAGGAGCUGGACAAUUUGUGAUUUCAUCUCAAAUGUUCCUUAUCUCCUACCAAGCAAAAGGAAACUAAAUAUCACUCUCCCUCCUACAUGCACACAUACAUAAAAGAAGAAAUUUUUUAAAAGAGAGAGGAGAAGAAAAAAAACCUGGAAGCAUUUUUGAAAGCAAAAGGCUGUUUAUUGCUGCCAAAGUGCUGAUUUUUUUUUUUCUGCCUCUGGCAACUGUAUGAGAAUUGGAGACUUCAGCAGAGAAGAAAUCCAUUCACUUGUCAUCGCAUAAAACCUCUGUGUUCCACAGAGGAAAUGGCAAAAUUUCACCCUUAACUGGAUUUGUAAAUUCUUACAGGGGGCUGGGAGAGGGGGUGGAGGAGAGGUCAGACUGUUCUACAUCCUGGGGCUUUCGGUAACCUCACUCUGCCAUGUGAGGGAACGGCUUGUCCAUCACAGCAGCCUUAUGUCAGCAGGGGACAAAGGUAGAGGCUGAAGAGUCAGAACGGGGCGGGCACCAGUCCCCAGCCCAGGCCACAAAAGAGCAAUUCCAGCCUGCGCCACUGCGGAGGGU
rnacentral:lncRNA from 1 species